AUGGGCGGGGGAAGGAGGAGAUGGGGUGGCGAAUGCAGUGAGUAUGGGACGGGGAACCUGCGGGGGCGCGGCGGAGCACCGGCGCCGCGUUGGAUGGGUGGCAGCGGCCGGCGGCGCCCUCCUAGGGUUACAGAUGGGGGAGAAAGGGGACGAGGGGAGAAGAGAAGCUGGGCGACGGGAAAGCGCGUCGGGCGCAACUCCACCUUCCGCUUUUUUAGAAGCUACGCUUUGGCUGCUCCAGGAAAUUACACUGCGAGAGGACGGGCUCCGCGAAGCAGGCUUCCAGAAGCUAGCGCGUUUGGGCUGGCUUCACGCCGGAGACGGUGA
rnacentral:rRNA from 1 species